rnacentral:rRNA from 1 species
AUUGAACGCUGGCGGAAUGCUUUACAUAUGCAAGUCGAGCGGCAGCACGGGGGCAACCCUGGUGGCGAGCGGCGAACGGGUGAGUAAUACAUCGGAACAUGCCCAGUCGUGGGGGAUAACACUUCGAAAGAAGUGCUAAUACCGCAUACGUCCUGAGGGGGAAAGCGGGGGAUCGCAAGACCUCGCGCGAUUGGAGUGGCCGAUGUCAGAUUAGCUAGUUGGUGGGGUAAAGGCCUACCAAGGCAACGAUCUGUAGCUGGUCUGAGAGGAUGAUCAGCCACACUGGGACUGAGACACGGCCCAGACUCCUACGGGAGGCAGCAGUGGGGAAUUUUGGACAAUGGGGGCAACCCUGAUCCAGCCAUUCCGCGUGAGUGAAGAAGGCCUUCGGGUUGUAAAGCUCUUUCGGCAGGAACGAAACGGUGAGCUCUAACAUAGCUUGCUAAUGACGGUACCUGAAGAAGAAGCACCGGCUAACUACGUG